GAUGAAGAACGUAGUGAAUUGCGAUAAGUAAUGUGAAUUGCAGAUUUUCAGUGAAUCAUCGAAUCUUUGAACGCACCUUGCGCCCUUUGGCCAUUCCGAAGGGCAUGCCUGUUUGAGUAUCAUGAACACCUCAACUCUUUAUGGUUUUCCAUGAUGAGCUUGGACUCUGGGGGUUUUGCUGGCUCACAGUCGGCUCCUCUAAAAUGAAUCAGCUUACCAGUGUUUGGUGGGUAUCAUGGGUGUGAUAACUAUCUACGCUUGUGGUUUUUCCACCAGGUAACCUUCAGCAGUGGAGGUUCGCUGGAGCUCAUAGAUGUCUCUCCUCAGUGAGGACAGCCCUUUGAAUGUUUGAUCUCAAAUCAGGUAGGACUACCCGCUGAACUUAAGCAUAUCAAUAAGCGGAGGA
rnacentral:misc_RNA from 1 species